rnacentral:rRNA from 1 species
UACAGAGGUCCCAAGCGUUGUUCGGAUUCACUGGGCGUAAAGGGUGCGUAGGCGGUCGGGUAAGUCUGACGUGAAAUCUCCAAGCUCAACUUGGAAAUGGCGUCGGAUACUAUUCGGCUCGAGGAAUGGAGGGGAGACUGGAAUUCUCGGUGUAGCAGUGAAAUGCGUAGAUAUCGAGAGAAACACCAGUGGCGAAGGCGAGUCUCUGGACAUUUCCUGACGCUGAGGCACGAAAGCCAGGGGAGCAAACGGG